CAGAGGGGGCAAGCGUUGUUCGGAAUUACUGGGCGUAAAGGGCGCGUAGGCGGCCUUCUAAGUCGAACGUGAAAUCCCCGGGCUCAACCCGGGAACUGCGUCCGAUACUGGAAGGCUUGAAUCCGGGAGAGGGAUGCGGAAUUCCAGGUGUAGCGGUGAAAUGCGUAGAUAUCUGGAGGAACACCGGUGGCGAAGGCGGCAUCCUGGACCGGCAUUGACGCCGAGGCGCGAAAGCUAGGGGAGCAAACGGGAUUAGAUACCCCGGUAGUCCUAGCCCUAAACGAUGUAUGCUUGGUGUGGCGGGUAUCGAUCCCUGCCGUGCCGAAGCUAACGCAUUAAGCAUUCCGCCUGGGGAGUACGGUCGCAAGGCUG
rnacentral:rRNA from 1 species